GACGAACGCUGGCGGCGUGCUUAACACAUGCAAGUCGAACGGAGAAUUUUAUUUCGGUGAAAUUCUUAGUGGCGAACGGGUGAGUAACGCGUAGACAACCUACCUCUCAGAUGGGGACAACAUCGCGAAAGCGGUGCUAAUACCGAAUGAUGUAACUUUUCUGCAUGGAAGAGUUACCAAAGGCGGCCUCUAUUUAUAAGCUGUCACUGAGAGAUGGGUCUGCGUCUGAUUAGCUAGUUGGCGGGGUAAUGGCCCACCAAGGCGACGAUCAGUAGCCAGUCUGAGAGGAUGAACGGCCACAUUGGGACUGAGACACGGCCCAAACUCCUACGGGAGGCAGCAGUGGGGAAUCUUCCGCAAUGGACGAAAGUCUGACGGAGCAACGCCGCGUGUGUGAAGAGGGUUUUCGGAUCGUAAAGCUCUGUUGUUUGAGACGAACGUGCAAUUUUUGAAUAAGGAAUUGUAAUGACGGUAUUAAACGAGAAAGCCACGGCUAACUACGUGCCAGCCGCCGCGGUAA
rnacentral:rRNA from 1 species